AUUGAACGCUGGCGGCAGGCCUAACACAUGCAAGUCGAGCGGAGCGGCGGACGGGUGAGUAAUGCCUAGGAAUCUGCAUGGUAACGGGGGAUAACGUCCGGAAACGGGCGCUAAUACCGCAUAAUAUCAGAUGAGCCUAGGUCGGAUUAGCUAGUGGGUGGGGUAAAGGCCUUCCAAGGCGACUAUCCGUAACUGGUCUGAGAUGAUGAUCAGUAACACUGUAACUGAGACACGGUCCAGACUCCUACGGGAGGCAGCAGUGGGGAAUAUUGGACAAUGGGCGAAAGCCUGAUCCAGCCAUGCCGCGUGUGUGAAGAAGGUCUUCGGAUUGUAAAGCACUUUAAGUUGGGAGGCGUUACCAACAGAAUAAGCACCGGCUAACUUCGUGCCAGCAGCCGCGGUAAUUC
rnacentral:rRNA from 1 species